rnacentral:tRNA from 1 species
UCCCUGGUGGCUCAGAGGUUAAAGCGUCUGCCUGCAAUGCGGGAGACCCGGGUUCGAUCCCUGGGUCGGGAA